UAUAUCACCGUAGUGUUCUCCUA
rnacentral:siRNA from 1 species